rnacentral:rRNA from 1 species
GGUCAAGCGAACAAGUGCAUGUGGUGGAUGCCUUGGCGAUCACAGGCGAUGAAGGACGCGGUAGCCUGCGAAAAGCCCCGGGGAGCUGGCAAACAAGCUUUGAUCCGGGGAUGUCCGAAUGGGGAAACCCACUCCUUAUGGAGUAUCCAUAGCUGAAUACAUAGGCUAUGUGAAGCGAACGCGGUGAACUGAAACAUCUAAGUAACCGCAGGAAAAGAAAUCAACCGAGAUUCCCAAAGUAGUGGCGAGCGAAAUGGGAUGAGCCUUGUACUCUUUAUUUGUAUUGUUAGCCGAACGCUCUGGAAAGUGCGGCCAUAGCAGGUGAUAGCCCUGUAGGCGAAAACAGUAUGAAAGAACUAGGUGUACGACAAGUAGGGCGGGACACGUGAAAUCCUGUCUGAAGAUGGGGGGACCAUCCUCCAAGGCUAAAUACUCGUGAUCGACCGAUAGUGAACCAGUACCGUGAGGGAAAGGCGAAAAGAACCCCGGGAGGGGAGUGAAAUAGAUCCUGAAACCGCAUGCAUACAAACAGUCGGAGCCUCGUAAGGGGUGACGGCGUACCUUUUGUAUAAUGGGUCAGCGACUUACGUUCAGUAGCAAGCUUAACCGUAUAGGGCAGGCGUAGCGAAAGCGAGUCCGAAUAGGGCGUUCAGUUGCUGGGCGUAGACCCGAAACCAGGUGAUCUAUCCAUGGCCAGGAUGAAGGUGCGGUAACACGUACUGGAGGUCCGAACCCACUAACGUUGAAAAGUUAGGGGAUGAGCUGUGGAUAGGGGUGAAAGGCUAAACAAACCUGGAAAUAGCUGGUUCUCUCCGAAAACUAUUUAGGUAGUGCCUCGUGUCUCACCUUCGGGGGUAGAGCACUGUCAUGGUUGGGGGGUCUAUUGCAGAUUACCCCGCCAUAGCAAACUCCGAAUACCGAAGAGUGCAAUCACGGGAGACAGACAUCGGGUGCUAACGUCCGGUGUCAAGAGGGAAACAACCCAGACCGCCAGCUAAGGUCCCCAAAUAUGGCUAAGUGGGAAACGAAGUGGGAAGGCUAAAACAGUCAGGAGGUUGGCUUAGAAGCAGCCACCCUUUAAAGAAAGCGUAAUAGCUCACUGAUCGAGUCGUCCUGCGCGGAAGAUGUAACGGGGCUAAGCCAUAUACCGAAGCUGCGGAUGCGUGCUUGCACGCAUGGUAGGAGAGCGUUCCGUAAGCCUGCGAAGGUGCCUUGUAAAGGGUGCUGGAGGUAUCGGAAGUGCGAAUGCUGACAUGAGUAGCGAUAAAGGGGGUGAAAGGCCCCCUCGCCGUAAGCCCAAGGUUUCCUACGCAACGUUCAUCGGCGUAGGGUGAGUCGGCCCCUAAGGCGAGGCAGAAAUGCGUAGCUGAUGGGAAGCAGGUCAAUAUUCCUGCACCAUUGUUAGAUGCGAUGGGGGGACGGAUCGCGGAAGGUUGUCCGGGUGUUGGACGUCCCGGUCGCUGCAUUGGAGAAGGCGCUUAGGCAAAUCCGGGCGCAGGAUUCAAGGGUGUGGCGCGAGCGACUUCGGUCGCGAAGCAAUUGGAAGUGGUUCCAAGAAAAGCCUCUAAGCUUCAGUCUAACGAUGACCGUACCGCAAACCGACACAGGUGGGCGAGAUGAGUAUUCUAAGGCGCUUGAGAGAACUCGGGAGAAGGAACUCGGCAAAUUGGUACCGUAACUUCGGGAUAAGGUACGCCCUUGUAGCUUGAC